rnacentral:lncRNA from 11 species
CAGGAGCACUGAAAUGCCAGCAGACAUUACUUGACUCCCCAAUUGCAUUUUCGCAGCUAUAUGGAUCAGUUGCUGCUGGGGAAGUAUCUACAAAGGAAAUACGAGGGGUCCCAUGUAAAAUAGGCAAAUGGGAAGGAAGAAUAUCCUUUGUGAUAGCCCCUAUUGCCACAUACCACGUAAUACUAGGGAUCCCAUGGCUCGAACAGGCAAAUCCUGAAGUAGAUUGGAGAGGAAAGAGCCUAGCAUUUAAAGAACAACAGACGCAAUGGGAGAUAAGCAAAUUAGCAGGAGAGGAGGACGAGGGAGAUGAAGCAGGUGAAAUAGACCCACAGCUAUUGCCACCUGAAUACAGAGACUUUGUGGAUGUUUUCAAUCAGAAAGAGGCAAGUAAAUUACCUCCCAAGAGGAAUAUAGAAGUAGAAAUUGAAAUAACCCCAGGAGCAAACUUACCAAAACCAAAAGUGUAUCCCAUGUCUGUUCAGGAGAAGGAGGAAUUGAGGAAAUAUAUUGAUAAGAACCUGGCGCGAGGCUGGAAUAGUAGAAAUGUGAUACAAAGGGUGGGGUUUGAUGAUGAUAUUUGCGUGUGGUGUUACGUUGCAUCAGAGGUGAUAAAAAUGAGUGUAUGUAAACAUUAGGUCAUUCUCGACUUUUCCAAAGUCAUGUAUUCUUCAAUAAAGAUUGGAUUUGAGAGCAGCUAUCUCUGAUCUGCG